rnacentral:rRNA from 1 species
GACAGAGGGUGCAAACGUUGUUCGGAAUUACUGGGCGUAAAGCGCGUGUAGGCGGCCCUGCAAGUCGGAUGUGAAAUCCCACGGCUCAACCAUGGAAGUGCAUUCGAAACUGCAGAGCUAGAGUCCUGGAGAGGAAGGUGGAAUGCUUGGUGUAGAGGUGAAAUUCGUAGAUAUCAAGCGGAACACCGGUGGCGAAGGCGGCCUUCUGGACAGUGGACUGACGCUGAGACGCGAAAGCGUGGGGAGCAAACAGG